GACGAACGCUGGCGGCGUGCUUAACACAUGCAAGUCGAACGGAAAGGCCCCUUCGGGGGUACUCGAGUGGCGAACGGGUGAGUAACACGUGAGUAACCUGCCCUUGACUUCGGGAUAACUUCAGGAAACUGGGGCUAAUACCGGAUAGGAAUCCUUGCUGCAUGGUGGGGGUUGGAAAGCUUCGGCGGUUUUGGAUGGACUCGCGGCUUAUCAGCUUGUUGGUGGGGUAGUGGCUUACCAAGGCUUUGACGGGUAGCCGGCCUGAGAGGGCGACCGGCCACAUUGGGACUGAGAUACGGCCCAGACGCCUACGGGAGGCAGCAGGGGGGAAUAUUGCACAAUGGGCGGAAGCCUGAUGCAGCAACGCCGCGUGCGGGAGGACGGCCUUCGGGUUGUAAACCGCUUUCAGCAGGGGCGAAGCUUGUGGUGACGGUACCUGCAGAAGAAGCACCGGCUAACUACGUG
rnacentral:rRNA from 1 species